GGAGUUUUAUUUCAAGUUUAGAAUAUAUCUUUUACAAGGAUAAGGUUUUUAACUCUU
rnacentral:tRNA from 1 species